UAUAGCGAAAAAAGUAUAUUGAAGUGGAAUAGUUGGUCAGAUUACACAGUGGAGACGAUGGAGCCUACUAAGAAGGAAGUCAAGUCGUCUUUGAGAGCUGCAGCAUGACUCGAUUAAGUGAUCGAAGUCCUUAAACUCAGGGACUGAGAAGACCCAUCUUAGCUCUACCCUGAUGUGUUGGGUUGUUUUGGACAAGGCACUUAGCCUGUCUAUGCCCACCUACUAUGAAAGCAUGCUGCCUAGUAUGAAACCUCCAGGGGCAUGAAGCCUCAGGCAAGUCCUUCAGGAGGAAUCCAGAAGAAGGCAUUGUUAUCACAGGAGAUGACAACUCCAUGCGUGUCAUUGUCCCUGAAGACCUUCCAGUGGGACAAGAUGUGGAGGCGGAAGACAGUGAUAUUAAUGAUCCUGACCUUGGGUGAUAUGGAGGUGAUCCUGGCCUGAAUAAGGUUUGAUGCCUGAGGUGGGCUGAGAAUGACUUCAAAGCCUACUCAAUGUGAAGACAAUGAAGAUGAAGACCUUAAUAAUGAUCUACUUACUCUCAAUGAAUAUUAAAUAUGUUUUCUCUUCC